UUGACUGUGCUAAGGUAGCAUAAUAGAUUUCUUUUUAAUUGGGAGAUAGGAUGAAAGAGUGAACGAAGAUAUAUUGUACCAUUUUUAAUAUAAUAAAUUUAUAUAGAAGUAAGAAAGCUUUUAUGAUUUAAAAAGACGAUAAGACCCUAUAAAACUUUACUAGUUAGUGGUUAAUUUUGUUUUAAUAAUUUAAAAUUAUAAUUAGUUAAGCUGGGGCGGCUUAUUUUGGUUGGCAAAAUGUUUAAUAACAUAUUUAAUGGGUUUAAAGAUUGUUGGUAAAUAAUUAAGAUUAAGUUACUUUAGGGAUAACAGCAUAAUAUUUUUGAAGAGUUCUUAUCGAUAAAAGUGUUUGUGACCUCG
rnacentral:rRNA from 1 species